rnacentral:rRNA from 1 species
CGGAGCUAAUACCGGAUAGUUCAACGGACCGCAUGGUCCGCUGAUGAAAGGCGCUCCGGCGUCACCUUGAGAUGGCCUUGCGGUGCAUUAGCUAGUUGGUGGGGUAACGGCCCACCAAGGCGACGAUGCAUAGCCGACCUGAGAGGGUGAUCGGCCACACUGGGACUGAGACACGGCCCAGACUCCUACGGGAGGCAGCAGUAGGGAAUCUUCCACAAUGGACGAAAGUCUGAUGGAGCAACGCCGCGUGAGUGAUGAAGGUUUUCGGAUCGUAAAACUCUGUUGUAAGGGAAGAACACGUACGAGAGGNAAUGCUCGUACCUUGACGGUACCUUACGAGAAAGCCACGGCUAACUACGUGCCAGCAGCCGCGGUAAUACGUAGGUGGCAAGCGUUGUCCGGAAUUAUUGGGCGUAAAGCGCGCGCAGGCGGCCUUUUAAGUCUGAUGUGAAAGCCCCCGGCUCAACCG